UACGUAGGGGCUAGCGUUAUCCGGAAUUACUGGGCGUAAAGGGUGCGUAGGUGGUUUCUUAAGUCAGAGGUGAAAGGCUACGGCUCAACCGUAGUAAGCCUUUGAAACUGGGAAACUUGAGUGCAGGAGAGGAGAGUGGAAUUCCUAGUGUAGCGGUGAAAUGCGUAGAGAUUAGGAAGAACACCAGUGGCGAAGGCGAUUCUCUGGACUGUAACUGACGCUGAGGCUCGAAAGCGUGGGGAGCAAACAGGAUUAGAUACCCCGGUAGUCCCUGAGCGGG
rnacentral:rRNA from 1 species